rnacentral:lncRNA from 10 species
GUGGCAGCAAUGGUCAGUAGUGGCUGUAGCCUUGACCGUACCUCUUUAUUUUCUACAAAUAUACACACACAAAAAUUCUGAGACAGAAGCUGCCAAUGGACCAAAAGAAAAAUUGAUCGUGUGCUGAGGCCCUCCUCCUGUGACAUAACUUCAGCAUGCAGAAGGUGGAGAUGCUGUGUGUGGCUCUCACUGGGGAAGAGGCAAGUGCAUUUGCCUUUUUCCUUGGGAUGGCUGGGUUCAUAGCAGAUAAGGAGAGUUCUUUUUGUUUGUAUGAGAAGAAGAGUGUGUGUGCAGUAGCAAGCGAUUGACUGUAUACAAUGAGCACAAAUUCAGGUGGCUGUUUGGCCAGAGGCUUCCCAUUAGGGUUUGUGUCUCUGUUACCCAUCCCCAUUCCUGAUACCAUAGCCUCACUGAUUAGUUCAAGAAGAGUCACUAACCCAAGCUAUUCUGUCUACUGAGUAUGUGAAACUUUAAUCAGAGACACUAGGAAUCAAAGUGUGUGGAGCUAAGCCAGGUGCAGGCAGAGCCCUGAAAGGGCAAACCAUAUAUUCCUGAUGUUGGUAAUGGUCUGCUCCUGUCCUUCCAAAUUCUGUAGAUUUUGUUCUUCCUUCCAUCCUCUGACCUGCUCUAGUUUUCAUCCAAUGAAUCUUCUAUUUUGUUUAAGACAGAUAGUUUCUGUUUCUGUUGCUUGCAAUUGAAAAAUUUUUAAACAAUACUAGCAGUACAGUGGAAUUGCAUCAAAUGCAGGUAGCCUGAUGGCAUUUCAACUCUAAGUGUCAGGGCAAAUGCUGGCUGGAUCACUGAAGAAGUAAAUUACUCAGUGCCAGAAACAUUCAAAGCUUAAGUGAAAUGUAUGAAAAGAAUGGGAAUUAUCCAGGAAUUGAUGAACAAUUGACAGACAAAUGAAACACAAUGUUCUGGCGUUAGGCAAGUCGGUGGCCGUUGCUCUGUUGACUUCUUCAGGAAGAAAUAGAUGAAUCAACUGAAGGUCAGGGAAGCCUUGGCUGAUGGAGAGUUACAGGGACUGAGGCAAGUGUUCUGCAGGAUGCUACAUAAAAAAGGACUAAGUAGGCCCUGGGUGCACUUUACGAGUGACUUAGGAGAGGUUCUGGGGUGAUUUUGUGCAUUCUGUAUCUCUUGCCCCUGCUCUGGGCUCCAGCUGAGGCGCCCAGCAGUUCUAUAUUCUAUGCAUGGAAAUACAGAUAAUUAAUGUCCACUGGGGCAAGGCCAUGGGGGACAGGAGCAGUGGUUACAGGCCUCCCUCUCUCCUCCCUGUAGAGGAACAUUCUGAAGACGCUCCUUGAAGACUCCUCAGGAGGUCUCCAGUCGCCCACAUGGGUGACCCUAUCAAGAAUUUCUCCCGGCAUCAGCCUUCUGUCCUUCUCUGUGUCACUCCUCCCAGUACCCCAGUCCUGCUCCUAGAAUCACUUCCCAAACAAAUCCUCUGCCUGGGAGCCUUGCCUAGGGCUCUCCCUUCAGGGGAACUCAGGCCACAGCAGCCUACAUUAGACAGCAUGAAGGCUCUGGGCUUUUGUGCUAAGAGUAAUAGGAAGCCAUUGAAGACAUGGAAGCAUGGGCUUGAAGAAAUCUAUGUUCUUACGGGGCAAAUUGGCCCAGUGUGGAGGAUGGGCAGGGAUAGUGGCAAGGGCUGUAUAACAGGGAAGACCAUUCUGGAAGCUUUUGCAGGAGUCUGGGUGAACUGAGAUAUCAUCUUGUCCAGCCCCUCUUUCCCAGCUGAUGAGGAAACUGAGGCUCAGAGAGGCGGGGUCUCUUGACUGCAGGCUGGUUCAUCUCCUCAAUGCACCACAAAGUUCCUUGAUUGGUUCCUGGCAUCUGGUUUUGCUUUUCUCUUCCUUGUUUUUUUUUGGGGGGGGGACGCGGGGGAUGGAGUCUCGCUCUGUCUCCCAGACUGGAGUGCAUUGGCGCCAUCUCGGCUCACUGCAACCUCCUCCUCUUGAGUUCAAGCAAUCCGCCUGCCUCAGCCUCCUUAGUAGCUAAGAUUACAGGCACCCACCACCAUGCCCAGCUAAUUUUUGUAUUUUUAGUAGAGAAGGGGUUUCACUGUGUUGUCCUGGCUGGUCUCCAACUACUGACCUCAGGUGAUCCACCCGCCUCGGCCUCCCAAAGUGCCAGGAUUACAGGCCUGAGCCACCGUGCCCAGCCUCCUUUUAUUUUUCUUCACAAAUCAAUGACUUUUCCAAUACAGAAUUUGGAGUUUCAUUGGAAUGUCAUCGUUCCCUCAGUGUAUCCUGGCCCCAAGCAGGGCUGACAUUUGUCAAGUCCUCCUGCUGUCUGCUGACAUCAUCACCAUCACCUUUACCACUGUUCAGACAAAAACUUCAGACAGGAACUUGCUCCCAAAGCGAGAAAGGAGCCAGGAGACCAAGGAAUGACUCGAAUAAGUCCAGCUUGGUGAGUAGGUGAGUUUAUUAGGACUUACACACAGGGCACUCAGCAGGAUGGCUCUAGAGAUCCGG